AGCACGGGUGCUUGCACCUGGUGGCGAGUGGCGAACGGGUGAGUAAUACAUCGGAACGUGCCCGAGAGUGGGGGAUAACGGAGCGAAAGCUUUGCUAAUACCGCAUACGAUCUACGGAUGAAAGCAGGGGACCGCAAGGCCUUGCGCUCAUGGAGCGGCCGAUGGCAGAUUAGGUAGUUGGUGGGAUAAAAGCUUACCAAGCCGACGAUCUGUAGCUGGUCUGAGAGGACGACCAGCCACACUGGGACUGAGACACGGCCCAGACUCCUACGGGAGGCAGCAGUGGGGAAUUUUGGACAAUGGGCGCAAGCCUGAUCCAGCCAUGCCGCGUGCAGGAUGAAGGCCUUCGGGUUGUAAACUGCUUUUGUACGGAACGAAAAGACUCUGGAUAAUACCUGGGGUCCAUGACGGUACCGUAAGAAUAAGCACCGGCUAACUACGUGCCAGCAGCCGCGGUAAUACGUAGGGUGCAAGCGUUAAUCGGAAUUACUGGGCGUAAAGCGUGCGCAGGCGGUUAUGUAAGACAGAUGUGAAAUCCCCGGGCUCAACCUGGGAACUGCAUUUGUGACUGCAUAGCUAGAGUACGGCAGAGGGGGAUGGAAUUCCGCGUGUAGCAGUGAAAUGCGUAGAUAUGCGGAGGAACACCGAUGGCGAAGGCAAUCCCCUGGGCCUGCACUGACGCUCAUGCA
rnacentral:rRNA from 1 species